GACGAACGCUGGCGGCGUGCUUAACACAUGCAAGUCGAACGGUAAGGCCCUUCGGGGUACACGAGUGGCGAACGGGUGAGUAACACGUGGGUGAUCUGCCCUGCACUUCGGGAUAAGCCUGGGAAACUGGGUCUAAUACCGGAUAGGACCACUGCCUGCAUGGGUGGUGGUGGAAAGCUUUUGCGGUGUGGGAUGGGCCCGCGGCCUAUCAGCUUGUUGGUGGGGUGAUGGCCUACCAAGGCGACGACGGGUAGCCGGCCUGGGAGGGUGACCGGCCACACGGGGAAGGAGAUACGGCCCAGACUCCUACGGGAGGCAGCAGUGGGGAAUAUUGCACAAUGGGCGCAAGCCUGAUGCAGCGACGCCGCGUGAGGGAUGACGGCCUUCGGGUUGUAAACCUCUUUCAGCACCGACGAAGCGCAAGUGACGGUAGGUGCAGAAGAAGGACCGGCCAACUACGUGCCAGCCGCCGCGGUAAAAC
rnacentral:rRNA from 1 species